rnacentral:rRNA from 1 species
CUCGAAUCUAAAAGAGCUAUUAUUAUAUUUUAUUAGCGUUUUAUAGCUAUUAUAAAUAUAAUAUUAGAAAUGAAACGUUAUUCGUUUUUAGAUAUAUCUGGUUUUCCAAGAAAUGAAUUAAAUUCAGCUUUUAAUGUGAGAUUAAUCAAUUUAGUGAUUAAUCUUAAUUAAAAAGUAAUUUUGUUGGGGAUAAGCUCGGUUGAAAAUUAUUAUUUAUCAAUUUAAGAUUGAAAAUUUAUAGGAAUAAAAAUUUCCAUUAUUGAUAGUUUGUUAUAAUUAUUUUACGUAUAAACAUUAUUUUUAUUGGUAAUAAGUGAUUUAUUGGAAUAUCAUUAUAAAUUAAAUAUAUUGAGAAAUAAUGGUAGAAUUAGUAUAUAAUUGUGUGUUUUUAUAUUUAUUUGAUAGAAAUUUAAAAGGAAUUCGGCAAAUCUAUUUUCCACCUGUUUAUUAAAAACAUGGCCUUUUGACUAUAAUUUAAGGUCUGGCCUGCCCAGUGAGGAUUAAAUGGCCGCGGUAUUUUGACCGUGCUAAGGUAGCAUAAUCAUUAGUUUCUUAAUUAGAAACUGGAAUGAAAGGUUUAAUGAGAAAAUAACUGUCUCUUAAAUUUAAAUAGAAUUUUAUUUUUAAGUAAAAAAGCUUAAAUUUGAUUGGAAGACGAGAAGACCCUGUAGAGUUUAAUGAAUUAAUUUUAUUAAUUAUUUUUGUGAUUAAAGUUAAUAAAUAGAAUUGUUUAUUUGAUUGGGGUGAUUGAAAAAUUUAAUUAACUUUUAUUUUUACUUUUACAUUAAUUAAUGAUUUGUUGAUCCAAUGGUUUUGAUUACAAGAAAAAAUUACCUCAGGGAUAACAGCGUAAUCUUUUUUUAGAGUUCUAAUCGAUAAAAGGGGUUGCGACCUCGAUGUUGGAUUAAAAUUUACUUUUGGUGCAGAAGCUUUAAGGUUAGGUCUGUUCGACCUUUAAAAUUUUACAUGAUCUGAGUUUAAACCGGCGUGAGCCAGGUUGGUUUCUAUCUUCAAUUUUUAAAUAAUUCUUAGUACGAAAGGACCAGAAUU